rnacentral:rRNA from 1 species
AGAGUUUGAUCAUGGCUCAGGACGAACGCUGGCGGCGUGCUUAACACAUGCAAGUCGAGCGCCCCGCAAGGGGAGCGGCAGACGGGUGAGUAACGCGUGGGAACCUACCUAGUAGUGCGGAAUAGCCUCGGGAAACUGGGAUUAAUACCGCAUACGCCCUAUGGGGGAAAGAUUUAUCGCUAUUAGAUGGGCCCGCGUUUGAUUAGCUAGUUGGUGGGGUAAUGGCCUACCAAGGCGACGAUCAAUAGCUGGUCUGAGAGGAUGAUCAGCCACACUGGGACUGAGACACGGCCCAGACUCCUACGGGAGGCAGCAGUGGGGAAUAUUGGACAAUGGGGGAAACCCUGAUCCAGCCAUGCCGCGUGAGUGAUGACGGCCUUAGGGUUGUAAAGCUCUUUUACCGGUGAAGAUAAUGACUGUAACCGGAGAAAAAGCCCCGGCUAACUUCGUGCCAGCAGCCGCGGUAAUACGAAGGGGGCUAGCGUUGUUCGGAAUUACUGGGCGUAAAGGGCGCGUAGGCGGCCGAUCAAGUCAGAUGUGAAAGUCCUGGGCUUAACCUGGGGACUGCAUUUGAUACUGAUUGGCUUGAAUCCGGGAGAGGAUAGCGGAAUUCCCAGUGUAGAGGUGAAAUUCGUAGAUAUUGGGAAGAACACCAGUGGCGAAGGCGGCUAUCUGGACCGGCAUUGACGCUGAGGCGCGAAAGCGUGGGGAGCAAACAGGAUUAGAUACCCUAGUAGUCC